CCUACGGGUGGCAGCAGUGGGGGAUAUUGCACAAUGGGGGAAACCCUGAUGCAGCGACGCCGCGUGGGCGAAGAAGUAUUUCGGUAUGUAAAGCCCUAUCAGCCGGGAAGAAGCACUGACGGUACCUGAGAAAGAAGCACCGGCUUAACACGUGCCAGCAGGCGCGGUAAUACGUAUGGUGCAAGCGUUAUCCGGAUUUACUGGGUGUAUAAGGAGCGCAGGCGGGACUGCAAGCCUGUUGUGAAAUCCCGCGGCCGAAACGCGGGACUGCAGUUGGAACUACCGGGCUGGAGUGCCGGAGAGGUAGGCGGAAUUCCUAGUGAAGCGGUGAAAUGCGUAGAUAUUAGGAAGAACACCAGUGGCGAAGGCGGCCUACUGGACGGUGACUGACGCUGAGGCACGAAAGCGUGGGGAGCAAACAGGAUUAGAUACCCGGGUAGUC
rnacentral:rRNA from 1 species